GAGACAAUCUUAUUUUCAUCCUUCUUCGUUUAUCGUUUCCUUAACCCUGCGGUUUGGCGUCACAGCGUUUGGAUCUUCUACCUCGUAACCAUGCGGAGAUAUUGGAUUUCUCACGGGAUUAUGGAACAAGGUGUGUUCCCCGUCGCCCCAUGGAAAAGGCUAUAGAAGGGAAAUAUUUAUAAGUCACUUACAGGGAUAAGGCUUGAAAGGUCUCAGCUUGUAAAAUCGGUCACGAUGUAAAAUUAUUAAAUCCUCGAGGCAAGAAAGAAGGAAAGGUAAUGAAGGGAAAAGUAUCAAAUUUCCGUGGUGAAGGCAAACGAUUCGUAAGACUUCAUUAAUCGAUUACGAAGAAUACCGCACAAAUGGAUUACCUUCCAGAGAUGUACGAAGCAGAGAGCUUCGUUAGACCGAAGAAUCAGUAUAAAGCUUACAUGUUACGCAAAAGUACCUUAGUUAUUCGCCUCAUAUAAGGAACAUCAAUGAACGGAGGCCUCGGUUGUUUAUCCGAUUCUUCCACCGUGGUGUAAACGUAAUACGAUAUACCUAUUAACACGAUCGCACUGAUGGCAGUCACCAGUUGCAAAAGUUUCUCUUCAUAGGCCACUGUACUUGCAAAGCCACAAGUUAUAUCGUUAAGUUACGUACAUACAACGAAGCUGAUAAAGUUUUUCGCGCAUCGCUAAACAGCAAAGAUGAAAAUUCAGCUGCUAGCUAAAGGGUUUAAAACUUUACCUGUAGGACAGUAAUCUUUUACGUCCGGACAAGGGAAUGGUGAAUGCUCUUCGCAAUCAUUCUCAACUGGUAGUUGACAUUUUCUCGAAGAUUUUGGACAUUCUUCCACAUUUUCGUCAAACUUUGAAUAGCAAUCCUUAGAAACAUCUUUGAUCGUUGUCCCAUCGCAAUCAUCCGAUUUCAAUGUUUUAUCGCAAGGGGGUUCUUUGGAGGAGGAAUAGUUACGAAAGCUCAUGGAACAAAAUAUUGCUUCGGAUAGACCUUUCGAUCUCCAUAAAUUUUUACAUGCAGACUUCUUGUAAGAUGGAUUUUCCGUGAAAGAAUGGAACUUUAACAUCGAAUUCGACAACUUCUGCAUGGAUGAACUAUGGUAUUCCGCCGAAGGACAAAAUUCGUUGGAGAACUUCCAAGAAUGGUAGAUUGGCGCCAAAGGGAACUGCGAAAAGAUCGACGAUCCACUGUCGAGCAAGAAACCUCUUCUCUCAAUGUACGUCUUCAUUUCACAGCGAUAUUCACGACUGCUCAUAUACCUGUUUCUUUCUGAAACGAAUUUUAACUGGAGAACGUCGGAAUUAUAAAACUUCUCUUGUAUACGAAAACCGUGAAUAUUUUCGGUCUCCGAAAACAGUUGCAAUAUGCAAAAUGUCGACUUCUCUUACGUUAAGAUAGAAACCUUGCUAUUUAUGCUAAUGAAUUACACGAAAUCCUGCAACACAGUCAGAACCGUAGAACUUUUUGCAGUCUCGCUAUGUAUGAAUUUUAAACAGACAGUUUUGGUAACUUCCUCGAGAAAGAGAUAAUUUCUUGUGUAGACAAUUAUUCAAACGGUGAACGUGUUGCAUUUUCAUGACAGAAAUUAUACGAAAUCCUUUUUGUCAUACAGAACAUUUAGUUCUUUGAAUGGAACGUGGAUAGUAAUUGUUGCACAGAAUAUCGCAGCUUUAGACAAGAUCAUUUGCCAGCAGGCAUUUCACGUGUUACAAACCGUUAAUGACAAAGUUCAAACGAAAUACGCCUAGAGACCCUUUUAUUAGAAUCUUUAAAAGGAAAUUAAAUAUCACGUAUCGUUGUCAUGUCGAUAGCACGAUCGUUCUAUUGUAAUGUCUCUUUAAUAACGAGUCGCUUAUAUCUCGUGAAAAAAAGAGAAUUUUAUACCUCCAUUUAUCGCGAGCAAUUUUCCGUUCGACGAUUCGUAUCUUGAAAUAUCAUUGAGCCAACCUUUACUGCUGUGCCAACGAUACCCUGUGCUCCAAUUUCUUUUUUUCUCGUCCAAGAAACCGGUUACAUUUACGCUCGUUGAAAAUACCAUUCCAAUAUCCGAUUUGAUUAACGUAGAACGCGUUGUUCCGUUGACAGACGCCAAUGACAGGAUCUUUAA